rnacentral:rRNA from 1 species
GUUGUUGCGGUUAAAAAGCUCGUAGUUGGAUUUCUGUCGGUGAGUUGCAGUCCGGCCACUGUGCUUGGUACUUGUAACGCCACCGGCAUCUUCCUGGGGACUGUGUCUGCUCUUCACUGAGUGGCUCAUAAUCCAGGACUUUUACUUUGAAGAAAUAGGAGUGUUUCAAGCAGGCAUGCGCCGUGAACACGUUAGCAUGGAAUAAUAGCAUCGGACCUCGCUCCAAAGCUGUUGGUUUCUUGGACCGAGGUAAAGGUGAAUAGGGAUUGUUGGGGGCAUUCGUAUUUAACUGUCAGAGGUGAAAUUCUUGGAUUUGUUGAAGACGGACUACUGCGAAAGCAUCUGCCAAAGAUGUUCUCAUUGAUCAAGAACGAAAGUUAGGUGAUCGAAGACGAUCAGAUACCGUCCUAGUCUUAACCAUAAACUAUGCCGACUGGAGAUCGGGGGUCGUUAACUUUGUGACGCCCUCUGCAUCUUGAGAGAAAUCAAAGUCUUUGGGUUCCGGGGGGAGUAUGGUCGCAAGGCUGAAACUUAAAGGAAUUGACGGAAGGGCACCACCAGGAGUGGAGCCUGCGGCUUAAUUUGACUCAACACGGGGAAACUUACCAGGUCCAGACAUAGUGAGGAUUGACAGACUGAUAGCUCUUUCGAGAUUCUAUGGGUGAUGGUGCAUGGCCGUUCUUAGUUGGUGGAGUGAUUUGUCUGGUUAAUUCCGUUAACGAACGAGACCUUAGCCUGCUAAAUAGGAUCCCCAACUUUCUAGUUGACGGAGGCCUUCUUAGAGGGACGUCGCGUGUCUAACGCGAGGAAGUGUGAGGCAAUAACAGGUCUGUGAUGCCCUUAGAUGUUCUGGGCUGCACGCGCGCUACACUGAUGCGUUCAACGAGUGUUUUUACCUGCUCCGGAAGGAGUGGGCAACCUUGUGAAAGCGCAUCG